UACGUAGGCAGCGAGCGUUGUUCGGAGUUACUGGGCGUAAAGCGCACGUAGGCGGACUUUCAAGUCAGGGGUGAAAUCCCGGGGCUCAACCUCGGAAUUGCCUUUGAUACUGUAGGUCUCGAGUCCGGAAGAGGUGGGUGGAAUUCCUAGUGUAGAGGUGAAAUUCGUAGAUAUUAGGAAGAACACCGGUGGCGAAGGCGGCCCACUGGUCCGGUACUGACGCUGAGGUGCGAAAGCGUGGGGAGCAAACAGG
rnacentral:rRNA from 1 species